ensembl:lncRNA
AAUGCUCUUCACUUUUUGUAUGUCUCUCUUAUGAUGCCCUUGGUUUAGUUCAUGGAUCUCUCUCCUAAUGAGCUGAUGAUCUGAAUCAGGUGUGUUAUGAAGUAUAUGGAUAAUAUACAAAAUGUGCGAAGCAGUGGUACCCCAGGACUAGAAUUGAGGACUCCUCCCCUAGGGCAUUGGUCCCCAACCCUGUUCCUGGAUCCCACAACAUGUCAUCAUGAUUUGUGUCAUGUCUGAUUCAUGUCAUAAACUCAGUUUUAGACACUAGAAGACCUGCCAUGGGUGUGCCAGACAAAAGAGACAUAUAAAAUGUGUAGUGUUGUGGGGCUUCAGGAACAUUGUUGGGAGCCACUGCAUGAAAGUGUUGAGUCCACCCUUCAUCCCUGUCAUGAUGUGAAAAGAUCUCACUGAUUACCUCCGAAAAGCACAAAAAUCUUGGGUCGGCUGCACUGCCAAGCGGAUGUUUGCAGUGGUGGAUGGGAAUCAUAGCGAUUUGAUCGCCUUCUUGGAGUACUUGUGGUCCAAGAUCAACUGGACAAAGACGAGAGUGAAGUGGACCCUAAGAGGGGCAACCAGACGAUGAACACCACUUGAGGAGAAAAGCAAUUGUUGCUUUUGUCUUUCUGAUGUCUGUUGACUGUUUCGGCUCUCAUUCUGACGGCACCCAUUUACUGCAGAGGAUCCACUGAUGCCUAUGAUGCUUUGCAAAAUGUAUCUGCCGCAUCUGAAACCUGGAGUCUGAGAGAGAAAAAAAGGGAUUGUAGGGUAAGACCACAGUGAAGAUUAAAAGCUGAAGCCAACAUCUGUUGAUUCGAAAUACGGACAAAGAAGACACUUGACGCUUGGCAACCGCAAUGAUGAGGCCAAAUGACAUUUCUAAUGAUUGUGCACUUCAAAGUGCUUCCUCUGAGAACAGGGAGCAUGACUGCAGAGGAAACUCAAAGAGAGAGAGAGAGAGAGAGACCCAGGACUUGGUGGGUAACCUCAGGAAGAUAAAAGGAACGACGCAAGAGGCAGAGGCUGAAUCAAGGCAAAACUUAACUUUUUUUUUUUUUUUAGAAUGGUGGGGAGAGGGAAUAGAGAGAAACUGGAACUAAAGUAUCUCUUCUCUCUUGAAUUGUGCCUAACAUCAAAUUACAUCUGAAAAAGGUAGGCAAAAGAGAUGGAUUAGCGGGUGAGGUUCAGUCUACUCACGUCCCUGUUGAUGUUUAUAUCCCCAAGAGUUUGACUGGUCUAACGCCUGGACAGAGAAACAAGUUCUGUGUGUUUGCCCGGCUUACCUGCUGCUCUCCUACUGUGGCCUCUUUGUCCUCUUUUAUGUUGUGGCUGAUUGUGCCCAACAGCUUGCACCUAAGACUCCCUGUCAGAGGGGAAAAGGGAUCACAUUUGUUUUUGAGGAGCUGCUCCUGAACAGCACACUUUGAGGCCUUCUCUAAUGGUGGCUCUCCAUGGUGCUGACGGUGGCUAUGUUGCUUUGUGAGGGACAGUGCUGACGCCCGAUAUACCCCUUUUUCCAGGGGUAUAUCAUCCUGAAGCAGUAAUGCCUCCUGGACAUGUUAUCAGCAUUUGCAUGAGAAUUC